AGCAGACUUGCAUUUCUGGUCUGUGCUAAAGAAGAUCCCCAUUUGAAAUCUUUUCCUGAACAGAGGUGGAUAAUAUUUUGGUGUCGCUAUGUGGCUCACCGCCAACAAAAGCAAAGCGAUCACACAACCUUAACAAUUCUUCACGAUGGAUGUAAACGGAUUUAGCAGCCUCUACAGUGCUACCAAGGCGAACUUCUUCCCCCGCAGGUCAUUGCAAUCUACACAGGUCUCAUAUUAGCACUUCUUAAUGCUUAAUGAUCAGUAGCGCUUAACUUAUGAAGGUAUGCUAAUGCUAAAAAAAAAGCAAA